CGAACGAUGAACCACUUCGGUGGGGAUUAGUGGCGAACGGGUGAGUAACACGUGGGCAAUCUGCCCUGCACUCUGGGACAAGCCCUGGAAACGGGGUCUAAUACCGGAUACUGACCACCGCGGGCAUCUGUGGUGGUCGAAAGCUCCGGCGGUGCAGGAUGAGCCCGCGGCCUAUCAGCUUGUUGGUGAGGUAACGGCUCACCAAGGCGACGACGGGUAGCCGGCCUGAGAGGGCGACCGGCCACACUGGGACUGAGACACGGCCCAGACUCCUACGGGAGGCAGCAGUGGGGAAUAUUGCACAAUGGGCGCAAGCCUGAUGCAGCGACGCCGCGUGAGGGAUGACGGCCUUCGGGUUGUAAACCUCUUUCAGCAGGGAAGAAGCGAAAGUGACGGUACCUGCAGAAGAAGCGCCGGCUAACUACGUGCCAGCAGCCGCGGUAAUACGUAGGGCGCGAGCGUUGUCCGGAAUUAUUGGGCGUAAAGAGCUCGUAGGCGGCUUGUCGCGUCGGUUGUGAAAGCCCGGGGCUUAACCCCGGGUCUGCAGUCGAUACGGGCAGGCUAGAGUUCGGUAGGGGAGAUCGGAAUUCCUGGUGUAGCGGUGAAAUGCGCAGAUAUCAGGAGGAACACCGGUGGCGAAGGCGGAUCUCUGGGCCGAUACUGACGCUGAGGAGCGAAAGCGUGGGGAGCGAACAGGAUUAGAUACCCUGGUAGUCCACGCCGUAAACGG
rnacentral:rRNA from 1 species